AAGGCAGGUGUUUCUAGAGAGCAUGAAAUCCUGGCUGAAAUAUGAGAUGUUUUUUUCUUUCAUUCGCAAAAUGGAGCCCAGAAGAGUGAUGGAUCCGAUGCUUGUCUCUCGUGUUAGGAUUUUCUAUAUAAUGUCACUGCUUGCUCGAUCACCAGAGCUACAAUCAAUUAAGGUUUCUCCGGUUGAGCGCUUUCUUGAGAAGCCAAAUAAUGGACGUAGUAGAAGCUCUAGCCGUGGUAGCAGCCUUGGAAGAUCUCCAGUUCAUUACGAUUCUAGUUCAAGGAAUAUGCUGGUUGGGGACCAAAUUUAAGGUUCAAAGUAAAUAUAAAACCAGAAAAGAAGUCAAAGUUGUCAUCAGUAGUUCUGAAGAUACGUGGAA